rnacentral:rRNA from 1 species
CAUGCAAGUCGAACGCUUCUUUYCUCCCGAGUGCUUGCACUCAAUUGGAAAGAGGAGUGGCGGACGGGUGAGUAACACGUGGGUAACCUACCCAUCAGAGGGGGAUAACACUUGGAAACAGGUGCUAAUACCGCAUAACAGUUUAUGCCGCAUGGCAUAAGAGUGAAAGGCGCUUUCGGGUGUCGCUGAUGGAUGGACCCGCGGUGCAUUAGCUAGUUGGUGAGGUAACGGCUCACCAAGGCCACGAUGCAUAGCCGACCUGAGAGGGUGAUCGGCCACACUGGGACUGAGACACGGCCCAGACUCCUACGGGAGGCAGCAGUAGGGAAUCUUCGGCAAUGGACGAAAGUCUGACCGAGCAACGCCGCGUGAGUGAAGAAGGUUUUCGGAUCGUAAAACUCUGUUGUUAGAGAAGAACAAGGACGUUAGUAACUGAACGUCCCCUGACGGUAUCUAACCAGAAAGCCACGGCUAACUACGUGCCAGCAGCCGCGGUAAUACGUAGGUGGCAAGCGUUGUCCGGAUUUAUUGGGCGUAAAGCGAGCCCUGUUCGYYUCUUAAGUCUGAUGUGAAAGCCCCCGG